rnacentral:rRNA from 1 species
CGAGAGGCUUCGGCAAUGGGGGAAACCCUGACCGAGCGACGCCGCGUGGGCGAUGAAGGCCGUUAGGUUGUAAAGCCCUGUCAGGUGGGACGAAAACAGGCGAGUAAACAGCUCGUCUGCUUGACGGUACCACUAGAGGAAGCUCCGGCUAACUCCGUGCCAGCAGCCGCGGUAAUACGGGGGGAGCGACCGUUGUUCGGAAUCACUGGGCGUAAAGGGCGUGCAGGCGGCCCGGUAAGUGGAAUGUGAAAGGCCCUGGCGCAACCAGGGAACUGCAUUUCAUACUGCCAGGCUUGAGUACAGGAGAGGAUGGGGGAAUUCCCGGUGUAGCGGUGGAAUGCAUUGAUAUCGGGAGGAACACCAGUGGCGAAGGCGCCCAUCUGGCCUGAUACUGACGCUGAGGCGCGAAAGCUAGGGGAGCAAAC